GAACAUGGAUGCCUCGCUUUUCAGAGACUCGCGUUCUUGGAACUUACACCCUCUUGGGUUUGCUAUUUUUACCCACCCUGAGCCUUCCGGUCUCCAUGGCGACGCCUCCAAACAGCAGAUUCCAGGCGGCAAUGACGUCAUCUCUCCCUUUCCUGCCGCCCAGGCCUUGGAGAGAUCCAAGGCCUGUGGGCCACGGCUGCGCCUCUCCUGACUCCAGCUUGCCCGUCUGUCCUUGGGGGCAGCGUCCUUCCUUCUCUCGGCCCCAGACGCAGCUGCAUCCUGGAGUCCUUCUGAGAAAUGUGGGACCUGCCCCAGCUCCACCCCAGGGGCAGCGAGGGAGGCGUUGGAUGGAGCCACCCCACGGCUCCUCUGUGAAGGUCUGCACGUCACUCAGAAAGUUGAAGCAAACCAAGCAGGGUUGGAGCCCACAGUUCACAGCCGGCUGCACAGGGGAUGCACCAAGCACAGUUUCCUAUGACAAGUGGAAACCUGUGCGCCACAGGUGAGCUGGGUCCUGGAAGGUGCAGGGACCAGGCAGCAUCUCAUCUCAGGACAUCAAGGGCUGUCCCCAGCCAGCAGAUUUCCCAUAAAAACGUGCUGAACUGGGGACAAAGCUGAUUCUACAGAGCCGAGAAGCCAGACCUUCCCUGGGGACUCCUGAGGGGGUCCCAGCCACCCUCUCCACCUGCAGAGGUUUCCUGGCCCACUUGGAGGACCUUGGGGGGUCCUCCAAGGGCCCCCUUCCAGCUCUUGGCCCAUGGGGGAGCCGCUUCCUCAGCUCUGGGUGUGGUGGACAGGAGACCGAGGGCUCCCCGCACCCAGCUGGGCUCAGGGUUUUCAAGCUGAACUUGGUGCCUGGCGGCUUGGAAAGCCGGGAGCCUGCUGCGUGUCUCCUGGGGCUGCUGUGAAAAAAUGACCACACACUGGGAGCCUAAAACGAGUGACAUGUAUAUUCUCACAGUUCAGGCAGCUGGUGUCCAAAAUCAGUGGUUGGGAGGGUGGAGCUCCCUCUGAAGGCUCUGGGUGGCUGCUGCCUGCCCCUUCCAGCCCCGGGCCCCCGGCAUUCCCUGGCGUGCAGCUGCUCCACCCCCAACCCCAAGCCUCCUUCCUGUGUCUCUCUGUCCAAAUUUUCCUUUCCUUUUUUUUUUUUUUUUUUUUUGAGAUAGAGUUUUGCUCUUGUCGCCCAGGCUGGAGUGCAACAGCACGAUCUCGGCCUAUCGCAACCUCUGCCUCCUGGGUUCAAGUGAUUCUUCUGCCUCAGCCUCCGAAGUAGCUGGGAUUACAGGCGCCCACCACCACACCCAGCUAAUUUUGUAUCUUUAGUAGAGAUGGGGUUUCACGAUGUCUUUCAGGCUGGUCUCAAACUCCUGACCUCACAUGAUCCACCUGCCUCGGCCUCCCAAAGCGCUGAGAUUACAGGCAUGAGCCACAGCACCUGGCCAAUUUUCCUUUUCUUUCUCUCUCUUUUUUUGAGACGGAGUCUUGCUCUGUUGCCCAGGCUGGAGUAAAAUGGCACAAUCUUGGCUCACUGCAACCUCUGCCUUCUGGGUUCAAGCGAUUCUCCUGCCUCAGCCUCCCGAGUAGCUGAGACUACAGGUGCCUGUCAUCACACCCAGCUAAUUUUUGUAUUUUUUAGUAGAGACGGGGUUUCACUAUGUUGGCCAGGCUGGUCUAGAACUCCUGACCUCAAGUGAUCUGCCCGCCUCGGCCUCCCAAAGUGCUGGGAUUGCAGGCGUGAGACACUGCGCCCGGACAAUUUUCCUUUUCUUACAAGAACACUGCUCACACUGCAUUCAGGGCCAACCCUAACCCAGUAUCGCCUCAUCCUGAUUUGAUUAUAUCGGCACAGACCUUGCUUCCGAGCGAGGCCACUUUCCAGGUACUGGUGGACAUGAGUCUUCGGAGACGCUGCUCAACCCACAGUGCUCCUCCAGCUUGGUUUCUGUGACUUGCCUUCCCCAGAGGAGGGGUGCCCUGAGAGGUCUCCACUCCCUGACCGGCUCCUUGGUGCCGCGCACUCUGAGAGGCUUCCCAGGGAACAGAGCACACAGGACCGCCCUCCUGGGUAGACCAAUCAGCAUCUGAGCUCACAAUUUCCCAGCAGGGCAGUGGGGUGGAGAGAGAAGCCUGGGCUGGGCUGGGCUGGGCUGGGCUGGGAAAGCUUCUCCAGGGAGGGGACGUCAGAGCAGGAUCUGGGGCUGAUAAAAGCCCGCCCCUGGGUGGGGGCUGAGUGGGGCAGGGGGCUGAGCCCGACACGUGGGGAUGGAGGACAGGCUGUGGGAGGGUGUGAACCGGAUACUUCUUGAAGGGGUGCUGGGGACUUUGAGAGAGGGCGGCUGGCCCCAUCUGGUCGGGGAUGCUGGCCCAGACACAGGCCAUGGCUGGGAUGGGGUUCAGAAACAGGACCGCUGUCUCUCCCGGGCCAGGGCCCUCCCCAGCUGCUCCUGGCUUUCCGGUUCUUGGGGUCAGGGGCAGGCCUGUGCCAUGACCCCGCCACUGAGGCUGUGAGGAGGCUGUCGGUGCCCAAGGGCACCAAGGCACACCCCUACUCUUGCACCCCAUGUGUGGGCCCGAGCACCUGCUCUGCUGCCCCAAAGAUCUGGCGAUGUUUCCCAGGCAACUGUCUCUCACAGCCUGUCUGCCUGGCACUCCCGUAUCCCAUAAAUGCCACCACAUCUGGCUAUGGGUGGGCGUGCCUGCCUGGCAUCCACGGGCCAGCAGGUGUGGUGGAGCACAGCCCAGUUCCUGGCUGCGUCAGAAGGCUGCCCGGGCCUUUUGGCUGUCCUUGCCAGCAGCAAAACUCCGUCACCACAGCAGCAGAUGGCUCCGAAGAAGUGGAGCGUUUUCAUCAGGUUCAACUUUGAAACCUCCACCACCACCAUCACCAGCACCGCUGUGUCGUGCUGAUAACUUGAGGACAGGCAGGACAAGGCCUUCUGGCGGCCGCCCCUGGUUUCUCCUGGGGGGUGAGGAGCGGGAGCGGCUCUGGGCCGAGCUACUGCGCACGGUGAGCCCGGAGCUGAUCCUGGAUCACGAGGUGCCUUCACUGCCCGCCUUCCCAGGACAGGAGCCCAGGUGCGGCCCGGAGCCCACUGAAGUCUUCACUGUCGGAACCAAGACCUUUUCCUGGACACCCUUUCCGCCGGACCUGUGGGGCCCGGGCCGUUCCUACCGGCUGCUUCACGGGGCAGGAGGGCACCUGGAAUCCCCCGCCAGGUCCCUGCCCCAGCGCCCGGCACCUGAUCCCUGCAGGGCCCCCAGGGUGGAGCAGCAGCCGUCUGUGGAGGGUGCCGCGGCCCUGCGCAGCUGCCCCAUGUGCCAGAAGGAGUUCGCCCCCAGGCUGACCCAGCUGGAUGUUGACAGCCACCUGGCCCAGUGCUUGGCCGAAAGCACAGAAGACGUGAUGUGGUGAGCGCCAUCCAAGAGCCCUGCGCAGAGUGCGGCGCCCGGACACGCUCUCCCCCGCCAGAAGCCCCGCCUCUCGGCUCCCCCGCAUGCGCAUUAAAGCAGGGCGGGCUCCUGUCUGUCUCUGUGUUGUGAUGAAA
rnacentral:sRNA from 1 species